rnacentral:rRNA from 1 species
UACGAAGGGGGCUAGCGUUGCUCGGAAUUACUGGGCGUAAAGCGCACGUAGGCGGCUUUGUAAGUAAGAGGUGAAAGCCUGGAGCUCAACUCCAGAAUUGCCUUUUAGACUGCAUCGCUUGAAUCAUGGAGAGGUGAGUGGAAUUCCGAGUGUAGAGGUGAAAUUCGUAGAUAUUCGGAAGAACACCAGUGGCGAAGGCGGCUCACUGGACAUGUAUUGACGCUGAGGUGCGAAAGCGUGGGGAGCAAACAGG